rnacentral:rRNA from 1 species
GAUGAACGCUGGCGGCGUGCCUAAUACAUGCAAGUCGAGCGAACAGACGAGGAGCUUGCUCCUCUGACGUUAGCGGCGGACGGGUGAGUAACACGUGGAUAACCUACCUAUAAGACUGGGAUAACUUCGGGAAACCGGAGCUAAUACCGGAUAAUAUAUUGAACCGCAUGGUUCAAUAGUGAAAGACGGUUUUGAUGUCACUUAUAGAUGGAUCCGCGCCGCAUUAGCUAGUUGGUAAGGUAACGGCUUACCAAGGCAACGAUGCGUAGCCGACCUGAGAGGGUGAUCGGCCACACUGGAACUGAGACACGGUCCAGACUCCUACGGGAGGCAGCAGUAGGGAAUCUUCCGCAAUGGGCGAAAGCCUGACGGAGCAACGCCGCGUGAGUGAUGAAGGUCUUCGGAUCGUAAAACUCUGUUAUUAGGGAAGAACAAAUGUGUAAGUAACUAUGCACGUCUUGACGGUACCUAAUCAGAAAGCCACGGCUAACUACGU